rnacentral:rRNA from 1 species
UGGGGAAUAUUGCGCAAUGGGCGAAAGCCUGACGCAGCCAACCCGCGUGGGUGAUGAAGGCCUUCGGGUCGUAAAGCCCUGUCGUGAGGGAAGAAACCUGACGGUACCUCACAAGAAAGCACCGGCUAACCCCGUGCCAGCAGCCGCGGUAAUACGGGGGGUGCAAGCGUUGCUCGGAAUCACUGGGCGUAAAGCGUCCGCAGGCGGCUUGGUAAGUCGGGUGUGAAAGCCCGGGGCUCAACCCCGGAACUGCAUUCGAAACUGCCUGGCUCGAGUACGGGAGAGGUUCGCGGAAUUCCUGGUGUAGAGGUGAAAUUCGUAGAUAUCAGGAGGAACACCGGUGGCGAAAGCGGCGAACUGGCCCGAUACUGACGCUCAUGGACGAAAGCGUGGGGAGCAAACAGG